AAGUAGCAGGGCAAUUUCUUGCACAAGAAGCAUUAUUGAUUGCCAUCCCCGAAGGAGGAACAAAACAAAAUAUUAGUUCAACGGCUAAAAGGAACAAACAGACAUCGUGGAUGCAAUUUAUUUUAAGGUAAAAACGGAUUUGGUUAAAAUGCUGCACGAAAACAGACAUUUCUUUCAAACUUCACAUCUUAACGUCUCCCACUUGUCUUGAAUGAAGCUUGUGCGCACAACUCGGUCUCUAUUCUGUGCUCCCUGUCGCCAUGAGCAGUGCUAGAGCGCCCACUAUUUCAAAACUCAGGAAUAUUAUUUCACAAGACUUGGAACAACUCAAUAAAAAAGUUACUAUCCCUUUCGACAACUUUUUGCUAACUUUCGGGUAACGAUUCUUCACGGUUUCCAACUUCCGAUAGAACAGAAAACAGCGCAGUUUGUAUUGCAAUGUUUUUUCUCUCCCAUUUCUUUAAUACAAAACCACCAGCAGUGUUUGUCAGCAUAUAUGAAAGUAGCCUACUGACGUUGGGAACAAGCGAACCACAGGCUGCAAAAGCGAAAAGGCUGGACACGGACUAUGAUGUUUCAACGUUACUAUUCACAUGAAGAGCGAAAUGAUAUCUACGAGGACAAAGAAACGUCAGUCUCAGGAACUGAUAAAUGACAAGGACACAUUGGUGACCAGCACGAGAGUUCGAGCCGCCGACCGAAAGCGUAAGAAGGGAAAAAGACCUACUUUUGGCCAGUUUUCUCGCUCUCGCCUUGGAUCUCAUCGUGUCGGCUUGUAGAUUCCUCUCGUCCUCGAUCACUUAUCUCUUCCCCUCCUCCCUCUCAGCACCAUCUCGCCCCCCUCCCCUACCAGCACCAUUGCCACCACCACCGUCUUGACUACCCCUUUCAAGAGCAAUAACUUAUUUUUCGCAAACCUGUGGGAUCCGGACUGGCAACAGACACAGCCUGGUAAAUAUGAUGGGGUCAAGGUCGCAUCCCUGAACUACAAGCAUGCAGGCUUUGCCCCGGAGGAAGCCACACGAAACGGCAGCUGUUGACGCAUGCAGCAGCCUACUUUCAAUAGACCAGAUGAAGCCACGUACGGGAGCCGGGCUGGUUUCGAUUAAUUGUAUUUCUGAAGGAAACACGUAUAUUAAAUCGAGUUUUUUUUGUUGUUGUUUUCUUUUCUUUUUUUUAUUUUUACAAACGACGCUUUAUUUCUGCCCCAUGGAGCGAUGUCUUACUAAAAAAAGUACUGAAUGCAAACAUCCAGUACCAUCCGGGCGCAAGAGCUUCAAGUAAACGCAACGAGGAAGAAUAGGUUGUGAAUUCCUAAUGCGAUGUUACGAGUGUACCUUCGAUUUUAGUUCGAGGACCGGCUAUGCUCUGUAGACUGCAGCUCAGACCACAGCUAAGCCAUUGGAAUGGACAGAGUUAUUACAAAGUUGGUGUAACAAAAGAUCUUACUAUAAUGGACCGACAGGAGCCAGCAGUCGUCAGAUUGUUGGCAUUUUCCUGCGGUUUUAACACGGGAAGAGAGAGAGGCUGGCCCAGACCCCGGAAGAGAGGUGUGCUGCUGCAACCCAGGCCGCUGCUGCAAUAUUCGUGUUUUGCUCUGCUACACCCUGUAAUUUAUAUAUAUAUAUAUAUAUAUAUAUAUAUAUAUAUAUAUAUAUAAGCUUAUGGCUAUACAGAGCAGCGCCAUUCGAUAUUGGAAUUAAAUGAUCUUAGAAAUAUGCUUUCAAACCCUGCUUUAUUUUGUGCAUGUAUUUUUCUUAGGCAACGUUUUCUAUUUAAGCCUUUCCGUUAGAAGACAGUAGGCCUAGAUAUAUAGGCCUAUGCGUUCAGUGCGCACAGGAAUAUAGUUAGAUAACGGUGACUGGAUAAUUUAUUAGAAAGUUACAUUUGAGGCGUGUUGUACGAAAAGUAUGAAAAUGUAUGCACUCAAUAUUGUAAGUCGCUCUGGAUAUGAGUGUUUGCUACAUUAUUUAAAUGCAAAUGUAUCCAUCAAUGAGAUGAAAUAAACUGGUCCUGGAGCUUUAUCAUAAUCAUCUUUA